UCGAGACCAGCCUGACCAACAUGGAGAAACCCCAUCUCUACUAAAAAUACAAACUUAGCCGGGCGUGGUGUUACAUGCCUGCUACAGUGCUUAGCCAUGAAUGGAAACCAGCUGUCAGUAGUAGUAUUUUUACAUAGCUAAUUUAUAUUCCCAGUUUUGUCUUUUUUUUGUGUAUUGUGGGGCAAAUUAGGAAAAUAAUAAUUCCACUCCUGAGGUAGAAUAACAGGGCCCCAGGGUACAAAUUGUGUGUCUCUGUGUUCACCCAUGGUGUGUGAAGAAAGCCUGUAAGUCCCCACGCUCCUCCUUCUCUCUGUGAGAGCCACAAAACCGCAUAGAGGCAGGUGUGGUGGAAUUAACUGGGAAGAAUGAACAAUGUUCGAAAUAGUGAUUAAAGGAUCAUAGCAGAGCCACUGAAUAUGAGAUGGCACUGUCAACACGCCCCAGCCUCACCACCCGACAGGGCAGGAUCCCCAGGCCUGGCUUGCUGCUUAUGAUUGUUCUCUAUCUG
rnacentral:lncRNA from 1 species